UCACUCCUGAGAUUCCAGAGGCACCUUGGAGAGGUUGGGAUAUGGAGGUGUCACUGUCACCCCAGAGAUUCCAGAGACAGCAGCUGACCUUGGAGAAGUGGGGAUAGGGAGGCAUUGCUGUCACUCCAGAGGCACCAGUUCACCUUGGAGAGGUUGGGAUGUGGAGGUGUCACUGUCACCCCAGGGAUUCCAGAGGCACCAUCUGACCUUGGAGAAGUUGGGAUAUGGAGGUGUUGCUGUCACUUCAGAGGCAUCAUCUGACCUAGGAGAAGUUGGGAUAUGGAGGCAUUGCUGUCACUCCAGAGGCACCAGUUCACCUUGGAGAAGUUGGGAUAGGGAGAUUUCAUUGUCACCCCAGGGAUUCCAGAGGCACCUUGGAGAAGUUGGGAUAUGGAGGUGUU
rnacentral:lncRNA from 1 species